AUAACUGUGGUAAUUCUAGAGCUAAUACAUGCNAUUAAAACAUGAACCUUAUGGGACAUGUGCUUUUAUUAGGCUAAAACCAAGCGAUCGCAAGAUCGUUAUAUUGGUUGAACUCUAGAUAACAUGCAGAUCGUAUGGUCUUGUACCGACGACAGAUCUUUCAAAUGUCUGCCCUAUCAACUUUUGAUGGUAGUAUCUGGGACUACCAUGGUUGCAACGGGUNACGGGGAAUCAGGGUUCGAUUCCGGAGAGGGAGCCUGAGAAACGGCUGCCACAUCUAAGGGNGGCAGCAGGCGCGUAAAUUACCCACUCCCAGCUCGGGGAGGUAGUGACGAAAAAUAACAAUACAGGACUCAUAUCCGAGGCCCUGUGAUUGGAAUGAGUACACUUUAAAUCCUUU
rnacentral:rRNA from 1 species